rnacentral:rRNA from 1 species
CAGUGCCGCGACAGUCGUUGUAGAACGAGACGGACCGUUCCGCGGUUUAGUAGAAUGCAACUUCUCUGUGAGCGGUAAGUGAAAAUCUGCGUCUGGGGUUAGAUAAGCGACAGCCGUGGAGUGACGGUUAACCCGUACAGAAAGAAAGCACCCGGCCUAAACUACGUGCCAGCCCAGCCGCGGGGUAAUACGUAGGGGGUGCGAGGCGUUAAUCCGGAAUUACCUGGGCGUAAAGGGUGCGCAGGCGGCCCCGCAAGUCAGGCGUGAAAUCCCCGAGCUCAACUUGGGAAUGGCGCUUGAAGCUACGGGGCUGGAGUGUGGCAGAGGGAGGUGGAAUUCCACGUGUAGCGGUGAAAUGCGUAGAUAUGUGGAGGAACACCGAUGGCGAAGGCAGCCUCCUGGGCCAACACUGACGCUCAUGCACGAAAGCGUGGGGAGCAAACAGGAUUAGAUACCCUGGUAGUCCACGCCGUAAACGAUGACGACUAGUUGUUGGAUGCGAGUUAAAUCCAUUAGUAACGAAGCUAACGCGCGAAGUGGUCCGCCUGGGGAGUACGGUCGCAAGAUUA